GCAGCAGAGUUUCACUCAGGGAGAAUUCUCAUGGAUGGAAUGAAUAUAUGGGAAUGUUUGGCUUAAGGCUUUCAAUCCCUCUCUUUUCUGAUUCACCAUAAACCCAAUUUCCUUCCAUACCUCCUUCUUCUGUGACUUUUUGCACAGUCCUCCCUCUACGGGUCUCCAGGCUGAGAUUGACAGAUCUGGUUAUGAAGUCUAAUUAAAACUCAUUAGGCUUUCUGAUGGCUUUUCCUGCCCCUUAAUUAGUUAGUAUUAGUUGACCUGGCGUCGUGUAUCACAUUAGGUUAUUGAAUAAAAAGGAGGUAAACAGGCUGAGGUGGAGGUGGGAUCACCCCAGGGUGAUAACCCCUUAAAGCUUAAUUCAGUUGCUAAACUGAUCAGAAUGCUCUCUCUGACUGACACACACAUCCAUGCAUGCACAGAUACAACCCAUCAAAUCAUCAACCAGACCUGAAACCCACGUAAGAUGAUCACCAACCUCCUGGAGCUCUUUAAGGUGAACUUCCUUCUAGCUCCUUCAUUUUUCACCCUCGGUAACCGAACCAUCUGGAAAAACCUGCAAACACCUUUCUCCGUCUCCUGCUGCUAAUUUGAAUAACCCCAUGACACGGAAGCCAGAUCACCAAACCUUUCACAGACGGGCAGCGGACCAGAUGUUGAGACAUUCAUCAAAGCAGAUGUUUUCUGCCUUUUCUCACUUAACCCUAAAGACGUGACUCUCCUCAUGCAGUCUCCAACCAUACUACCUGGUGUGAAUUAAAGGGCUGCUCCAAAAUGUUUCUAAAAGAGCGUGUGUCCAUGUUCGUUAACGUAAAGUCUCCAAGCUAUUCACAAAAACCCAACACCCGAGGAUCUGUCGGAACAUUUCCUGUAAAAGCCCACAGAGACACUGAGUAA
rnacentral:lncRNA from 1 species